rnacentral:miRNA from 1 species
GGCGGGGGCGCGGGGUGCUGA